rnacentral:tRNA from 1 species
GAGGAUUUAGCUUAAGGGGUGGAGCACGUGCUUAGCAAGCAGGAGGCCCUGGGUUCAAUCCCCGGUACCUCCU